CCGCCCGGCGCGCUCCCCCGGCGGCGCGGCGCUCCCCUCCCAGCCCUCGCGCCCGCGCUCGCCCUCCUCAGCGCGGCCCCCGCCAUGACGGAGGCGGGUGCCGGUGCCGCCCGCCGCCGCCGCCGUCGCAGGGGGGAGUCGGGCUCCCAGAAAGUAGCUUGAUGAGUGUCCAAAGUAGCAGUGGAAGUUUGGAGGGGCCGCCAUCUUGGUCCCGGCUCUCCACGUCUCCAACCCCGGGCUCGGCGGCGGCGGCGGCCAGGUCCCUGCUGAAUCACACGCCGCCAUCCGGGAGGCCCAGGGAAGGUGCAAUGGAUGAGCUUCACAGUCUGGAUCCAAGAAGACAAGAAUUAUUGGAAGCUAGAUUUACUGGAGUUGCCACUGGGAGCACUGGGAGUACUGGGAGUUGCAGUGUUGGCGCGAAAGCCUCAACAAAUAAUGAAAGUUCUAAUCACAGUUUUGGAAGCUUAGGAUCUUUAAGUGACAAAGAAUCAGAGAGACAUCUGGCAGGCAGCUGAAAGGACUGUGCAAGUGACGGGACUUUAUCCGCAGUAGGUUCCCUUGAGACCCCAGAGAAGAAACAAUCUGAGUCAUCCAGGGGAAGAAAGAGAAAAGCAGAAAGUCAGAGUGAAAGUAGCCAGGGAAAAAGUAUUGGGGGACGUGGCCACAAGAUUAGUGACUAUUUUGAAUACCAGGGUGGAAAUGGCUCCAGUCCAGUAAGAGGCAUACCUCCUGCAAUCCGUUCUCCACAAAACUCACACUCACAUUCCACUCCUUCCUCAUCUGUCCGACCGAAUAGCCCUUCUCCUACUGCAUUAGCUUUCGGGGACCACCCUGUUCUACAACCAAAGCAGUUAUCCUUUAAGAUCACUCAGACUGAUCUUACAAUGCUGAAAUUGGCAGCAUUAGAAAGUAAUAAAAAUCAGGACCUGGAAAAGAAGGAGGGUCGGAUAGAUGAUUUGCUCAGGGCCAACUGUGAUCUCAGGCGGCAAAUAGAUGAUCAACAAAAAUUACUUGAAAAAUACAAAGAACGAUUAAAUAAGUGUAUUUCAAUGAGCAAGAAACUUCUUAUUGAAAAGAGUACACAAGAAAAAUUGUCAAGCAGAGAGAAGAGUAUGCAGGAUCGGUUGCGCCUUGGGCACUUCACGACAGUUAGACAUGGCGCUUCUUUUACUGAGCAAUGGACAGAUGGUUUUGCAUUUCAAAAUCUUGUGAAGCAACAAGAAUGGGUGAAUCAGCAAAGGGAAGAUAUUGAACGGCAAAGGAAACUUCUAGCCAAACGCAAACCUCCCACAGCUAAUAAUUCUCAGGCACCUGCUACCAAUUCUGAACCAAAACAAAGGAAAAACAAGGCAGUCAAUGGAGCAGAAAACGAUCCCUUUGUUAGGCCAAUUUACCACAACUGCUAACUCUGGCAGAAUAUCAUGAGCAAGAGGAAAUUUUCAAACUUAGACUAGGACAUCUCAAAAAGAGAUAACAGUGUAGCAACAACUCUGCCACUGACCUCCUGUUCUCUGACCCAUCUUGGCACCUGCAAAGAGAGACAAGCAGUGACAGGCAGCAGCAGCAUCAGUACUCACCUCCAUGGUGACUCUUUACAGGCCGAGAACAAGCUCACAGCUCUUUUCUCACUCCUCACAGUGGAACAUGCAGCCAGUUGAAACGGACAAGACUGGAUUGCCUACAAGCCUUUUGAGCAGUGGAGAAAGCAGGGCGUUGGUUUUAGGAAGAAGCCGAAAUCCAGGCAGAGCUGGAGCGUUUGGAAAGAGUUAGGAAUCUUCACAUACGAGAGCUCAAGAGAAUAAACAAUGAGGAUAAUUCACAGUUCAAAGAUCAUCCAACGUUAAAUGAAAGAUAUUUAUUACUUCAUCUGCUUGGAAGAGGUGGCUUUAGUGAGGUGUAUAAGGCUUUUGACUUAUAUGAGCAAAGAUACGCUGCUGUGAAGAUCCACCAGCUUAAUAAAAGCUGGAGAGACGAAAAAAAAGAAAACUACCACAAACAUGCCUGCAGAGAGUAUCGAAUACACAAGGAGCUGGAUCACCCCAGAAUAGUUAAACUCUAUGAUUACUUCUCCUUGGAUACAGAUACGUUUUGUACAGUGCUGGAGUACUGUGAAGGCAAUGACUUAGACUUCUACCUGAAGCAGCACAAGUUGAUGUCCGAGAAGGAGGCUCGCUCGAUUGUGAUGCAGAUAGUGAAUGCCCUACGGUAUCUCAAUGAGAUCAAGCCUCCUAUUAUACAUUACGACCUUAAGCCAGGAAAUAUCCUUUUGGUAGAUGGAACAGCGUGUGGAGAAAUCAAAAUCACUGAUUUUGGACUGUCCAAGAUUAUGGAUGAUGAUAGCUAUGGUGUAGACGGAAUGGAUCUGACUUCCCAAGGGGCAGGCACUUACUGGUAUUUGCCUCCUGAGUGCUUUGUAGUUGGAAAAGAGCCGCCAAAGAUUUCCAACAAGGUUGAUGUGUGGUCGGUUGGAGUCAUCUUUUUUCAGUGUCUCUAUGGUAGAAAACCAUUUGGUCACAAUCAAUCCCAACAAGACAUUCUCCAGGAAAACACAAUACUAAAAGCCACAGAAGUCCAGUUCCCUGUCAAACCAGUUGUGAGCAGUGAAGCCAAGGCCUUCAUAAGACGCUGUUUGGCUUACCGAAAAGAAGAUCGAUUCGAUGUGCACCAGCUGGCAAAUGACCCCUACCUUCUGCCACACAUGAGAAGGUCCAAUUCUUCAGGAAACCUGCACAUGUCUGGACUGGCGGCUGCUCCUGCGCCUCCCCCGUCAAGCGUGAUCACGUACUGACGCUCCAGGAUUGGUUUCCAGACGCAUACUUGAAUUUGAGUGCAUUUGAGGGUUGGGUAAGAAGUGUUUGUGAACUCCAGCUCUCCGUGGAUCUUGUGUGAGGGUGAUCACGGACGUGACUGAGUGCACACUCCUCCCUCUGCCCCGGAGCAGCACGGAACAGGAAUACAUGUCACAGCGGAAGAGGGACACUGUAAAUAACGUUUAUAAUACCUAAAUAUAUUUGAUGGUUCCCAGAGUUCUAAUAUGAAGGGUAGUUUUUCAUUAUUUAAGAACACAUGGAAAGAUUAUUGGACAUUGUAACAUGGAGCUACAGUGCCUGGUGCAGCGUCAGCACUCGGUGGCUGAUCUGCAGAAACCAAAGCAAGAACUGAGUGACAGCAGCCGUGCUGUUUAUAAGAGAGUGUGAGAGUUACGGUCUGUGGACAGUCGGACUUCGUCGUUGCCUAUUCUGGCUUUUACCAAGUUGUACCUCGAAUCACAUGUCCGUUUUCCCCACUGGUUGUGUUUAAAGGGAGCUGUCAUUUCUGGACACUUGACACCUUUAACACAAAGAGCUGCCUAUUUCCAAUCAGUUGAAGUCACUAAAUUAUAGUAUUCCCAGGGCUUUCAGUGUUUUAGAAUUAACAGGCAUUUUUCUUCUGUUUCCCGGCCUCGUUCACUAAAACAGGAGACAGUGUGUAACCAAAAGCAGGCCAGUUCUAUGCAGGAUAAUGAUAAAUUCCCUUCUGGCUCUGUUGUAAAUUACUGUACAGAUGUCGUAUUACAAUUACUGAGUUUCAGCAGCUUAUUCUUGUACAAAUGUUUAAAAAUACGGCUUUUCUAAUUGGAUAUUGUAUUUUUUUUAAGUCUUCUUGAAGGCGCUUUAAUUGCUGCUAAAUGAUAUUGCUUUUUUGCUAAAAAAAAAAAAAAAAAAUUGAAUGACCUCCCUGAAGGCACAAGUUGACUAUACAUCAUAGAGAGAUAUUAAAAGCAAGCAUUCAUUAACAAUCAAGGCAUGUAAAAUGAUCCAUGUUGGGCAUAUUGAGUUCUUUAAAUCAGUUUUUUAGGUUCUAGGGCUGUGGAGCACAUAGAUACUAGAUUUAUAAAUUGUUCAUGGUUAUUCUACAUUUCUAGAAAGUUCUUAGCAUCAAGAUGGGAUGUUGGUCCCAUAGAAUGUUUCUUGUGGGUUUGUACAGAUUUGUUAAAAUGUGAACAAUUUCUAACUGCCUUGUGUGGUAGAAACCAAUAUUUUUCGGGAUGCUGUAUUUCAUUCUUGUACGGAUUUUUCUUUAUUGUCACAGUCAUAAUGCUGAGACUUACAUGUAAGUUGUCCAUGGUGCAGAAAACACACUCUCCCUCCAGAUACCCCUUAACAUGUACAGUUAAACUGUGGCUCUUCCCUGAUGUUGCAAGCCAUUUUGUUCGUUUGUUUGUGUUUUUUUUUUUCCAUUGUACAUAGACACAUUGUCUGUUUAAGAUGCUGCUGGAAUUAUAGAGAAUGUAGCCACCCAGUAAUAAACAAUGACAGUUAAAAUGUAAAGACUGUGAAAAUUAUAUUCAAAGAGAGCUUUCAAGAUUUAGGGUACUAACUUAGCUCUUUUACUUAACCAGCAGAUGAAUAAAUUCCUUAAGCACACUCCAGACAAGUAUGAAGUGUUUCAAGCUGUUAAAGUCAUCAGUGCUAAUCCUGGGAGCACCUCAGGCUGUCGGGAGAGCCUUCAGGACAGCACCAACUCCUGUUUAGAUCAGGAUAAAAAUCCCUGAAGAUCACUGGCAUGGUCACCACAUGCUGGCAGUCAGUGAGUGUUUACAGUUGCUACUGUAAAUUCAUGAUCUGAAUUAAAAUGCCCUGUUUUGUUGAA